rnacentral:lncRNA from 1 species
GAAUUUGGCAAAUCCAACUGCUUUACUGAUGAUUGGUGUUUCAAUGUUACGGCAUUUGAAUAUCCAGAACAAAGCGGACCACAUUCAAAAUGCCAUCCUCAACACAAUUGCAGAAGGGAGGUACCGAACUGUUGAUCUUGGAGGCAAAGCAAAGACAACCGAGUUCACCAAUGCGAUUAUUGAUCAUCUCUAAAUUCUUCUCUCGAGUAGGCAAGGAAUUGCGGCUAAUUUUGUUUUCUGUUAAUCUCCUAUUUAGUUUUUUACCUGGCUUUUUGUGAGGAGUAGGAUAGGAUUACCUCAGCAUAAUGGAAAAACUCAUCUAAGGGUGUGAGCUUAUAACCACAAGGCAUGGGCAAGCCUUAAAAUAUUCACUGCAGUGUUAUGGCCUUGAGAGGGUUGGAGUCUUUUUUUACACUUCUAAAAUGCUUUUGAUUGAUAACCCUCUUUAUUCUAUUUUACUAUUCUUUGUCAAUAAUACAGUUAAACAAAUAAAGUAGCAUACACAUGUUUCAUUCAUUCGUCUUUCUUGACUCUGCCUGUUAUUUGCUUAAUUUAAGUUAUUUUUAGAGGAAUUCCAUCAAUACAUUCAUGCCACUGUUGGGAGUUGUCCUAAAAUAAUGUGUAUGAUUUUUGUUUUUAACUCUACAACCAUAUGUUUGACUAUGUAUAUACUUGAUCCAAAUCAUGAUACACCAAAUGGGAAAACAAACUUUCAAGUUUCUGUUGUUGGAAAUAGGUGGAUCAUUAGUUAUUGGCAAGGCAAAAAGGCAAAGAAAGAUUAUUGUUUUUACUGGAAUAGAUAAUGAGCCAAUAGCUUUUGUGAUUUUCUUUAAUUAAUUAUACAAAUUUGAUCACUUUUCAACUAAAAUUUUGUAAUUCGGAAAAUUAUUCUUUAGCAAAAUUUUGGUAAUGUCCUCUUUGUCUAUCUUGAUAGUGGGAUUUGUCGUCUUGGUUAGUCUUUUUUAUAUUAAAAAUAAUCUUGCUGAUUAAAUUGUAUUAAGAAUCAGGAUAAUAUAUGUUCUCUUUAUCAAUUAUAACAUCAUUUGAUUUGGUCUUUUUUAUAAAUCAAGAACCAACUGAAAAAAAAGAGAAUAAAGUUGUUUUUUAUCUGAAUUUCAAGAUACAAAUAUUCAUGACAACGAUAAAUUCAUAAUUGAGCCAUUUUGUUUAAGCAUCAUUAUGUAACAUCACGCCAAGGGGCUGCUUUCUGUAGCCAAAUUCAUGAUCGGGGUUCUGCAACUAUUAAUUUUUUUCAAGCUAACUUUGUAACUGUAGCCAAACAUUCCUUUAGUUCAGUAACAACAUCAAUCAUGUAUGCUCUUUUGCAGUAUUGUUUGUUCUACCUUUUUGCUUCCUCUUUUGAAUGUAAAUGAUGUUAAGUGCUGCAAGAAUUACUAAUAGCACAGAAAUUGCAUCAACAGAUGCUAACAUAUAAAUAACUGGAUUGUCUUCCUUGCUUUUAUCCUUUGCAUGUUGCUUUCAGUUUCAUAUAAUUUGUCUCACAAUGUCUUCGACCUCUUUUUCUCCACAUUUUACUGCACAAGUUAGUUCCCUCUCUGCAGUUGGCAGUGCCUCUAAAUCAAGUUUGAGGGCAGCAAAAUCUUUCUCAGGUACCUUUUUAAAGUACAAAUGCAAAGCUUGUAGGAGGACGGUUGUAUGCCGUGUAAUUCAUAUAUUAACUUCUAAGUUUUGUAUGCCGUGUAAUUCAUAUACUACUUACUAUAAUUCAUAGUGAAAGGAGGACAGUUGAAAUAGAAGUUUAGCUUAAUUAAUCAAAAACAAUAUGUGACAUUUUACCCUAAAAUAUAUAAAACGUUACUCUCUGUGUACAGCACAAAAUCAAUCAAGAGAACCAUCUAUGUUUCUACACUUUGUUGCCUUUUUCUCCCUAUAAUUGCUCCCAUUAUUUUAACCGGUAUUUGCACAACCACCAAUAUUGUAUAAUAGAAUUAUUCUUUAUUAUUAUGAGAUCUGUCAAAACAUCUCAGCACCCACUAAUCAAAUUAAUUGUGAGGAAGACUAAGUCAAUAUCUUUUAAUUUAUGGCUUAGUUUUGGAAGGAUUUUAAACUAUUGUUUGUGAAGGCUGGAGCCAAGGUGUCCCAAAUCAUUCAAGUCGAGGAACGUUGUAUGUUUUAUUAUUUAUUAAAUUAAUAUUUUAUGUGGAAGUGGAUUCAGAGAGAACUAUACCUAAACCUUCAUCGUUAAAAGCAUUUCUAUACACAACAUCUUGUAAGAAGUUGGUCCACCUUGGUUUGUAUCAGCAAUCUUAUCAUGUUUUAAUUUCCAACAGUGGGAAAAAAAAAAGUAAUCUACUAUUCCUAAUUCCCCUUAAAUUCUUUCUAGGUUCCAAAGUUACAAAUUACAAAAUAAAUUUGCAAUAAACUUGAAGGAAAAGAAAAUAUUAUUUUGAAGCUCAUAUAUAAAUAUAUACUUGAAUCAAAAUUGUUAAGGAGCUCUAGACAAUAUAUAAAAACGGCUCAGUGAUGAUUUCUAAAAGGAAAACUUACUGAAAAGUUCAGCAUAUUCAUUGGAUAAAUUAGCAAAAACAAUGUGUAUGGAACUUCUUUAACUAUCUUACAACACCACUGAACCCAGGCAUUCUUUCCAUUCUCUGACUCCACAAUACUCUUCUUACCAAGAUCAACCAUACAGCCAUAAUGCUUGAUAUCUGGUUCAACAUUAUAUACACUCUUCAUGCUUCGAAAUAUUCUCUGCCCAUGAUCCACCAGCCCAGCAUGACAACAAGCACUAAGGACUCCUAUAAAUGUAAUUGGAUUGGGCUUAAUACCAUACCUUUGCAAAUCAGAGAAAACCUCUAGGCACAUACUUGCAUGUCCGUGUGAUGCUAAUCCACAUAUAAUUGCAUUCCAUGCAGACACGGAAGACACAAUGUCUCGAAUCUGAUUGAAAAAUUGUAAGGCGGUGUUGAUGCUCCCGCAUUUUGCAUACAUAUCAAUCAUGGCUGCACAUAAAUUGUCAUUCAAAGGAAUGCAUUCACUAGUAGUGUACUCAUGGGCCCAUCUUCCUUCAUUCAAUGCACCUAGAGUGGCAAUUGCGGAAAAUACACCCACCAUGGUAACUUCAUUUGGUUUGACCCCACUAGCUAUCAUUUUGUGGAAGAGAUCAAGAGCCAUUCUUGGUUGUUCAGUUUGUGCAUAGCCAGCAAUCAUUGUACUCCACGAAAAUCCGUCUCUUUCGGGCAACUCUUCAAAGAUUUGCCUUGCCUGCUCCAUCAUUUUAUUUUUUAUGAAUCCAGCAAUAAGAGCAUUCCAUGAUUUUAGGUGAUCCUUUACACCCACUUCAAAUUGUAAAUUGGCAAGGUCCAUCAUCCCACAAGAUGAAUAAAAAUAGAUGAUCGUAGUCUGUAUGAAAUUGUAACAGUCAAAUCCUUUUUUAACAACUGUUCCAUGCAAUUGCCGACCUUCGCUGACUGCUGUCUCACGACCACAUGCUGAAACCAAAUUCACAACCAUGACUUCAUUAGGCCCUAUUCCAUUCUGAAGCAUUGCACGAUACAUCACCAAAGCUUCAUGCAAACAAGUUGUUUGGAUGCAACAAUCGAUCAUCGUCCCCCAAGAAACAACAUCCUUAUCAAGAAUCCUCUCAAACAACUCCUUGGUCAUCUCAAGAUGCCCCGCCUUUGAAUACCCAUUCAAAAUCACAUUCCAGGACACCAAAUUAGGCUCAGGCAUCUCAUCAAACAGCCUCCUCGCUUCCCCUAAACCCAAACAACCACAAUAAGCAUGCAUCAAAUUAGUCGAGACAACUACCUGCCCCUCAACAACCAACUUAAUAAUCAAUGCGUGAACCAUCCGGCAGUUCCAUAUCUCACCAAAAUGUAAGCAAGCAGACACUACAUUCACCAAAGUGACCUCAUUAGGGACCACACUGUGAUCCAUCAUGUCCUUAAAAACUUCAAGGGCAUCCCCAAAGCAACCAUUUUUAACAAGACCCAUUAUCAUGGUGGUAUAGGAUACAAAACCUUUACCAGGCAUUACGUCAAACAGUUGGCGGGCAUAGCCAAUUUGGCUAGCUCUCAUGUACCCAGACACCAUGAUAUUACAAGAAACAUGGUCCAACGUAGGACAAGCCUUAAAGAGCAACUGGGCAUCGAACAAGGAGCCGCAUUUAGAGUACAUGCUGAUCAAGCUGUUACGAAUGAAGGUGUUGGAAUGAAAUCCGAGUUUGACGACCAAGGAAUGGAACUGGCGGCCCAACAGAGCGGCGGAGAAUGAGGAACAACACUUGAGAGCGGAAACAAGUGCAAGCUCGCAUUCGUAGUGGUUGUGGUUUUGUCUUGCAUUGAAGAAAAUACGAACGAAGUGUUGUGGGUCUUCUGAAGGAGGGGCUUUGGUGGCUGAAGUGGAAACCCAUUUAAGUGUUUGAGGGAAGAAUUUUAGUCUGAGAUUCUUAGAAUUGAAGACCCACAGGAGGUGAAACAUUAAACUCAAAAUUGGAUCUUCCUCUGCAAUACUUGUGUAGAAUUUGGCAAAUCCAUGACAAAGCGGACCACAUUCAAAAUGCCAUCCUCAACGCAAUUGCAGAACUGCUGAUCUUGGAGGCAAAGCAAAGACAACCGAGUUCACCAAUGCGAUUAUUGAUCAUCUCUAAAUUCAACUCUUGAGUAGGCAAGGAAUUGCGGCUAAUUUUGUUUUCUAUUAAUCUCCUAUUUAGUUUUACCUGGCUUUUUGUGAGGAGUAGGAUAGGAUUACCUCAGCAUAAUGGAAAAACUCAUCUAAGGGUGUGACCUU